rnacentral:lncRNA from 1 species
UGGAGAAUGCAAUGUUGGUUGUCUGAGCUGGGGACAGAGUGACAGCAUAGUUGCAUGUAGAGCUGGAGGCUCCUGCAGCUGUACAGGAGGGACCUACAGAAAAUAUGUGGCACCUCGGCAGCCUGGCCUGCAGCUCCCCCCUCCCCAUCGGUGAGUCCUGCUACAGCGGGUCCAGGUGUCUGGACGCCCGGCACGCACGGCUGUCUGCAGACCUCUG